rnacentral:rRNA from 1 species
GUGAGGAAUAUUGGACAAUGGGCGCAAGUCUGAUCCAGCCAUGCCGCGUGCAGGAAGACGCAUCUAUGGUGUGUCAACUGCUUUUGUACGGGAAGAAACACUCCCACGUGAGGGAGCUUGACGGUACCGUAAGAAUAAGGAUCGGCUAACUCCGUGCCAGCAGCCGCGGUAAUACGGAGGAUCCAAGCGUUAUCCGGAAUCAUUGGGUUUAAAGGGUCCGUAGGCGGUUUAAUAAGUCAGUGGUGAAAGCCCAUCGCUCAACGAUGGAACGGCCAUUGAUACUGUUAGACUUGAAUUACAAGGAAGUAACUAGAAUAUGUAGUGUAGCGGUGAAAUGCUUAGAUAUUACAUGGAAUACCAAUUGCGAAGGCAGGUUACUACUUGUGGAUUGACGCUGAUGGACGAAAGCGUGGGGAGCGAACAGGAUUAGAUACCCUGGUAGUCC